rnacentral:rRNA from 1 species
AUGGUGGAUUCACCUGCUACAUUACAAUACCUCGCUCCCUAUACGGGAGCAGCCCUGGCUGAGUAUUUUAUGUACCGCGAACGGCAUACUUUAAUAAUUUAUGAUGAUCUCUCCAAACAGGCACAAGCUUAUCGCCAAAUGUCCAUUCUAUUAAGAAGACCUCCUGGCCGUGAGGCUUAUCCAGGGGAUGUUUUUUAUUUGCAUUCACGCCUUUUAGAAAGAGCCGCUAAAUUAAAUUCUCUUUUAGGAAAAGGAAGUAUGACCACUUUACCAAUAGUUGAGACUCAAUCUGGAGACGUUUCCGCCUAUAUUCCUACUAAUGUAAUCUCCAUUACAGAUGGACAAAUAUUCUUAUCUGCGGAUCUAUUCCAUGCCGGAAUUCGACCCGCUAUUCAUGUGGGUAUUUCUGUUUCCAGAGUAGGAUCCGCGGCUCAAAUUAAAGCCAUGAAACAAGUAGCUGGCAAAUCCAAAUUGGAACUAGCUCAAUUCGCAGAGUGACAAGCCUUUGCACAAUUCGCCUCUGCUCUCGAUAAAGCACUAUGGCCUGAAGCGAAGGGCAGGAACGAACGGAAUCAAUGUGUUCCAAUUUAUCCGGAGUAA